AGCGCUGGGAGAAGCUUUGGACACCAUGGGGAGAAGGCUCGGACAGCAGGAGGGAAUGGAACGCACAGUGCGCUGGGAAGGCUGGAAUGUUCGGACAGCAAGGCUGGAGGUAUCGCACAGCCAGGGAUUUUUGCAUAGUAAGGAGGGCAGCGUACAGCACACGGAAUAGGAAGGUUUUUAAUUUACGCACGGUGCAAGGUGGCUUGAAAAACUAAGGGAAGUCAAGAAGUCAAAGUGGAAGUGUUGACAAGCCAAAGAAAGAGCAAGCAAAUGGGGUUAAAUAGUCAAAGUCAAAUGGAGGAGCCACAAGUUAACAUAAGGGGCUAACGUGGAAAUGUUGAAAAAUAAGCCCCAAAUCUCCCACAUUCUCUCUGUCUAACACAAAGGGAGAGUGGUGAGAUUCGAUCAUUCACUAGAGCGUGGACUUGAUAGGCCCUCCGUAAUUUCGGGGGACAGUUCGAUCUAACCGAAAGGAGAUUCAAGAGAUGUUCUUGGAACAAGAAGUUGCUGCCACUAGUGAAGUUCAACCUCUACAUCGGCCUUCAAGAGUUGAAAGGUAUACCAACUAAACCCCUUAUGGCAUGGUUUAGUUUUCAUAUAGCAUAUGGACAUGAGAAACGAGUCUCGCAAGGUCGAUUUUGUUUAUGUUUCCGCUAUUAUCUUUGAUGUUUUCAAAGAAUGUUUUUGAAAAUGGCUAAACCCUUGCAUUGGUACACCUUGUAAUGGUGUUCCUCAUAAGUGGUAUAAGAGCCUCAUCUCGUUUCCAUGUCCUAUGCAUUUGUUUGUGUGAUUUGCAUGAGUUUCGGGUGAGUCUGCUAAUUAUUUUUGAAGUUGCAGCAUCUAAAUGUCAACAGUGUAUGCAGGGACUAUUGAUAGUUCUAGGCGUUUGCCUUAGUAAACUGUCGACAGCAUGGUGAAACUAUCAACAGUUUAGAGCAAACCCAUAAACUGUUAACAGUUUCAGUAUAGACUGUCGAUAGUUUCAAGCACAGUUUUGUUGUUUUGGGUUUUUCAGUUAUUAUUUUGAUGCAAUGAAAUUGCUAUGAUAUAAAACCGAUUAAUGCUCAUGAUAUGAGAUAUCAGUGACUCAAAAAAUGAUGCAUAUCACAUUAACAAGAUUACUAAUUAAAAAUCGCCAUAAUAUUCAAUGAGAUUGAAUCAGGAGGGUGAUCAUGGAUUUUCACAAUGUGAUUGUGUGGAUGUGUGAAUGAAUGGAUGAAUGUUACAGGUAUUCAAUGAUCUGUAAAUAUUAAUUUUCAUUAUGUUUUGGGGGAAUGUAAUGAGACAUAAGUCUCAUUGUAAUUUUCAUUUUAGUAGGAAAAGUGUAUAAUAUAAAUUUCUUGUAAAAUGAAGAAGCCAUCAAGAGUUAGUGACACAAGGGAGCAAGAAGGCCGCGAAGGAGUUUUCGCAUGAGAUGGGUGCUGCCCACUUUAGAGUUUGGUUCCUCAAAAUGCUAUUGAUUAAAUCUUGAGGCUCAAAUUUAAUCAAUUAGCAAAAGUCCAUGAUCACCCCACUUUGUAUGAAUGCAUGAGUGUAUGUAUGAGAUACAUAAAAAGAAAACUUAAUGCAUCUGCAAA